rnacentral:tRNA from 1 species
GCGGGUGUGGCGAAAUUGGCAGACGCGCGGGAUUUAGGUUCCCGUGGGCUAAACCCCGUGCAGGUUCAAUUCCUGUCACCCGCA